rnacentral:rRNA from 1 species
AUGCAGGCACUGGCGCGGGCGGCGCGGGGGCUCUGGCCGGCGGCGGGGAGGGGGCAGGUGCAGGUGCAGCCGGCGCGGGGGAUCGUGGUGCAGGUGAGGGACGGCAACCUGGAGCGCGCGCUGCAGGUGAUGGAGCGCAAGAUGCGGUCCAGCGGCAUCGAGCGGCUCAUCAAGCGCCGGACGGAGCACCACGUCAAGAACUCGGAGAAGCGCGUGCUCGCGCGCAAGGCGCUCAUGGCGCGCGUCCGCUCCCAGGAGCUCGGCAAGAGCCUCCGCGACAUCCUCAUCAAGAAGAUCAGGGGUCAGUAA